GAUGAACGCUAGCUACAGGCUUAACACAUGCAAGUCGAGGGGCAGCAUGGUCUUAGCUUGCUAAGGCCGAUGGCGACCGGCGCACGGGUGAGUAACACGUAUCCAACCUGCCGUCUACUCUUGGACAGCCUUCUGAAAGGAAGAUUAAUACAAGAUGGCAUCAUGAGUCCACAUGUUCACAUGAUUAAAGGUAUUCCGGUAGACGAUGGGGAUGCGUUCCAUUAGAUAGUAGGCGGGGUAACGGCCCACCUAGUCUUCGAUGGAUAGGGGUUCUGAGAGGAAGGUCCCCCACAUUGGAACUGAGACACGGUCCAAACUCCUACGGGAGGCAGCAGUGAGGAAUAUUGGUCAAUGGGCGAGAGCCUGAACCAGCCAAGUAGCGUGAAGGAUGACUGCCCUAUGGGUUGUAAACUUCUUUUAUAAAGGAAUAAAGUCGGGUAUGGAUACCCGUUUGCAUGUACUUUAUGAAUAAGGAUCGGCUAACUCCGUGCCAGCAGCCGCGGUAAUACGGAGGAUCCGAGCGUUAUCCGGAUUUAUUGGGUUUAAAGGGAGCGUAGAUGGAUGUUUAAGUCAGUUGUGAAAGUUUGCGGCUCAACCGUAAAAUUGCAGUUGAUACUGGAUAUCUUGAGUGCAGUUGAGGCAGGCGGAAUUCGUGGUGUAGCGGUGAAAUGCUUAGAUAUCACGAAGAACUCCGAUUGCGAAGGCAGCCUGCUAAGCUGCAACUGACAUUGAGGCUCGAAAGUGUGGGUAUCAAACAGGAUUAGAUACCCUGGUAGUCCACACGGUAAACGAUGAAUACUCGCUGUUUGCGAUAUACAGCAAGCGGCCAAGCGAAAGCGUUAAGUAUUCCACCUGGGGAGUACGCCGGCAACGGUGAAACUCAAAGGAAUUGACGGGGGCCCGCACAAGCGGAGGAACAUGUGGUUUAAUUCGAUGAUACGCGAGGAACCUUACCCGGGCUUAAAUUGCAGAUGAAUUACGGUGAAAGCCCUAAGCCGCAAGGCAUCUGUGAAGGUGCUGCAUGGUUGUCGUCAGCUCGUGCCGUGAGGUGUCGGCUUAAGUGCCAUAACGAGCGCAACCCUUGUUGUCAGUUACUAACAGGUUCCGCUGAGGACUCUGACAAGACUGCCAUCGUAAGAUGUGAGGAAGGUGGGGAUGACGUCAAAUCAGCACGGCCCUUACGUCCGGGGCUACACACGUGUUACAAUGGGGGGUACAGAGGGCCGCUACCACGCGAGUGGAUGCCAAUCCCAAAAACCUCUCUCAGUUCGGACUGGAGUCUGCAACCCGACUCCACGAAGCUGGAUUCGCUAGUAAUCGCGCAUCAGCCACGGCGCGGUGAAUACGUUCCCGGGCCU
rnacentral:rRNA from 1 species